GAUGAACGCUAGCUACAGGCUUAACACAUGCAAGUCGAGGGGCAGCAUGAACAAAGCUUGCUUUGUUUGAUGGCGACCGGCGCACGGGUGCGUAACACGUAUCCAAUCUGCCCGCGGCUCGGGGAUAGCCCAUCGAAAGAUGGAUUAAUACCCGAUGGCGUGGUCACUCCGCAUGGAGUUUCCACUAAAGGUUUUCCGGCCGCGGAUGAGGAUGCGUGUGAUUAGGUAGUAGGCGGGGUAACGGCCCACCUAGCCUUCGAUCAUUAGGGGUUCUGAGAGGAAGGUCCCCCACACUGGAACUGAGACACGGUCCAGACUCCUACGGGAGGCAGCAGUGAGGAAUAUUGGUCAAUGGGCGAGAGCCUGAGCCAGCCAAGUAGCGUGAAGGAAGACUGCCCUAUGGGUUGUAAACUUCUUUUGUUCGGGAAUAAAGUGCAGUACGCGUACUGUUUUGUAUGUACCGUUCGAAUAAGCAUCGGCUAAUUCCGUGCCAGCCGCCGCCGUAACAC
rnacentral:rRNA from 1 species